AUUGAACGCUGGCGGCAUGCCUUACACAUGCAAGUCGAACGGCAGCACGGGAGCAAUCCUGGUGGCGAGUGGCGAACGGGUGAGUAAUACAUCGGAACGUGCCCAGUAGUGGGGGAUAGCCCGGCGAAAGCCGGAUUAAUACCGCAUACGACCUGAGGGUGAAAGCGGGGGAUCGCAAGACCUCGCGCUAUUGGAGCGGCCGAUGUCGGAUUAGCUAGUUGGUGGGGUAAAGGCUCACCAAGGCAACGAGCCGUAGCUGGUCUGAGAGGACGACCAGCCACACUGGGACUGAGACACGGCCCAGACUCCUACGGGAGGCAGCAGUGGGGAAUUUUGGACAAUGGGCGCAAGCCUGAUCCAGCCAUGCCGCGUGCGGGAAGAAGGCCUUCGGGUUGUAAACCGCUUUUGUCAGGGAAGAAACGCUCUGGGCUAAUACCCCGGGGUAAUGACGGUACCUGAAGAAUAAGCACCGGCUAACUACGUGCCAGCCGCCGCGGUAACAC
rnacentral:rRNA from 1 species